AAAAACUCUAGCUCUUUCUGAUGGUUUCUUGCUGAGUCUGGAAUUUUGAGGAUGAGGUUGUCUCCACAGGAUGUCUCUUUGUCUGUGGCUGGUUCCCCUAACCCUCUGUUAAAACCUGGUGUGUGGAGUUGACUGGGAGGAUGGCUUUCCCCUUCAGAAAAAAAAAAAAAAAACUCCAUUCCUAUCACUCACAAGAGCUCUGACUUGUGUUAAACCCAACAGAACAGGAAGAAAUGAUCAAGGGAAUAAAACUUCCUGAGCUGCUGAGAGACAUCUUUGAUAAGAAUGUAUAUUGCAAGAUUAAAAUAAAGUCAAACAACAAAAGUUAAAAGGUAACCAAAAUAAAGAAAAAUAAAGCCCGCAUCAAUAAAUAUCUUAAGUCAAUUUACUUAGAGUAUUUUCUAUUUUUUUAUUGUUAAACAUUUUGUAAAUGAAAGAAGAAAAUGUACUAAUAAAUAAUAAAAAUAAACAACUGACAGGUUUUCCUGUGCACAGGAUACUAAAAGGCAUAGAGAACAUAUUUAAAUUUGUGAGAAAAUAUACUUAUAGAACUUGAGCUCCAUGUUUGGGCACUAUUACAACUCAAAUUCCAAUCUGAAAGGAUUAUUUAGUGAUGUCCUAAUAUUAAAAAAUGA